UACGUAGGGUGCGAGCGUUGUCCGGAAUUACUGGGCGUAAAGGGCGCGCAGGCUGUUAUGCGAGUCUGCUGUGAAAUGUACCGGCUCAACCGGUGCCUUGCGGCGGAUACUGCAUAGCUGGAGUACUGGAGAGGGAAGUGGAAUUCCCGGUGUAGCGGUGAAAUGCGUAGAUAUUGGGAGGAACACCGGUGGCGAAGGCGGCUUUCUGGCCAGUUACUGACGCUCAUGCGCGAAAGCUGGGGUAGCGAACCGGAUUAGAUA
rnacentral:rRNA from 1 species